GAUGAACGCUGGCGGCGUGCCUAAUACAUGCAAGUCGAGCGAACAGACGAGGAGCUUGCUCCUCUGACGUUAGCGGCGGACGGGUGAGUAACACGUGGAUAACCUACCUAUAAGACUGGGAUAACUUCGGGAAACCGGAGCUAAUACCGGAUAAUAUAUUGAACCGCAUGGUUCAAUAGUGAAAGACGGUUUUGCUGUCACUUAUAGAUGGAUCCGCGCCGCAUUAGCUAGUUGGUAAGGUAACGGCUUACCAAGGCGACGAUGCGUAGCCGACCUGGGAGGGGGAUCGGCCACACUGGAACUGAGACACGGUCCAGACUCCUACGGUAGGCAGCAGUAGGGAAUCUUCCGCAAUGGGCGAAAGCCUGACGGAGCAGCGCCGCGUGAGUGAUGAAGGUCUUCGGAUCGUAAAACUCUGUUAUUAGGGAAGAACAAAUGUGUAAGUAACUAUGCACGUCUUGACGGUACCUAAUCAGAAAGCCACGGCUAACUACGUG
rnacentral:rRNA from 1 species